GACAGAGGGGGCAAGCGUUGCUCGGAAUUACUGGGCGUAAAGGGCGCGUAGGCGGGAUGGCCAGUCGGUCGUGAAAUCCUUCGGCUCAACCGAAGAACGUCGAUCGAUACUGCUGUUCUUGAGGGUUGCAGAGGAGACUGGAAUUCCCGGUGUAGCGGUGAAAUGUGUAGAGAUCGGGAGGAACACCGGUGGCGAAGGCGGGUCUCUGGGCAAUUCCUGACGCUGAGGAGCGAAAGCGUGGGGAGCGAACAGG
rnacentral:rRNA from 1 species